rnacentral:rRNA from 1 species
UACGUAGGGUGCAAGCGUUGUCCGGAAUUAUUGGGCGUACAGAGCUCGUAGGCGGUCUGUUGCGUCGGCUGUGAAAACCCGGGGCUCAACUCCGGGCCUGCAGCCGAUACGGGCAGACUAGAGUUCGGCAGGGGAGACUGGAAUUCCUGGUGUAGCGGUGAAAUGCGCAGAUAUCAGGAGGAACACCGGUGGCGAAGGCGGGUCUCUGGGCCGAUACUGACGCUGAGGAGCGAAAGCGUGGGGAGCGAACAGG